UACAGAGGGUGCGAGCGUUAAUCGGAAUUACUGGGCGUAAAGCGUGCGUAGACGGUCAUGUAAGUCGGAUGUGAAAGCCCCCGGGCUCAACCUGGGAAUUGCAUUCGAGACUGUGUAGCUGGGGUGCGGAAGAGGGAAGCGGAAUUUCCGGUGUAGCAGUGAAAUGCGUAGAUAUCGGAAGGAACAUCAGUGGCGAAAGCGGCUUCCUGGUCCAGC
rnacentral:rRNA from 1 species